UACGAAGGUGGCAAGCGUUGUUCGGAUUUACUGGGCGUACAGGGAGCGUAGGCGGUUGGAUAAGCCCUCCGUGAAAUCUCCAGGCUUAACCUGGAAAGUGCAGAGGGGACUGUUCAGCUAGAGGAUGGGAGAGGAGCGCGGAAUUCCCGGUGUAGCGGUGAAAUGCGUAGAGAUCGGGAGGAAGCCGGUGGCGAAGGCGG
rnacentral:rRNA from 1 species